rnacentral:rRNA from 1 species
UACGGGGGGAGCAAGCGUUGUUCGGAUUUACUGGGCGUAAAGGGCGCGUAGGCGGCCAGCACAAGUCAGUUGUGAAAUCUCCGAGCUUAACUCGGAACGGUCAACUGAUACUGUGCGGCUAGAGUGCAGAAGGGGCAACUGGAAUUCUUGGUGUAGAGGUGAAAUUCGUAGAUAUCAGGAGGAAUACCGAUGGCGAAGGCAGGUCUCUGGGCUGACACUGACGCUCAUGCACGAAAGCGUGGGGAGCAAACAGG